UGUGAGCUCGAUGAGUAGGGCGGGACACGUGGUAUCCUGUCUGAAUAUGGGGGGACCAUCCUCCAAGGCUAAAUACUCCUGACUGACCGAUAGUGAACCAGUACCGUGAGGGAAAGGCGAAAAGAACCCCGGCGAGGGGAGUGAAAAAGAACCUGAAACCGUGUACGUACAAGCAGUGGGAGCACGCUUAGGCGUGUGACUGCGUACCUUUUGUAUAAUGGGUCAGCGACUUAUAUUCUGUAGCAAGGUUAACCGAAUAGGGGAGCCGAAGGGAAACCGAGUCUUAACUGGGCGUUAAGUUGCAGGGUAUAGACCCGAAACCCGGUGAUCUAGCCAUGGGCAGGUUGAAGGUUGGGUAACACUAACUGGAGGACCGAACCGACUAAUGUUGAAAAAUUAGCGGAUGACUUGUGGCUGGGGGUGAAAGGCCAAUCAAACCGGGAGAUAGCUGGUUCUCCCCGAAAGCUAUUUAGGUAGCGCCUCGUGAAUUCAUCUCCGGGGGUAGAGCACUGUUUCGGCAAGGGGGUCAUCCCGACUUACCAACCCGAUGCAAACUGCGAAUACCGGAGAAUGUUAUCACGGGAGACACACGGCGGGUGCUAACGUCCGUCGUGAAGAGGGAAACAACCCAGACCGCCAGCUAAGGUCCCAAAGUCAUGGUUAAGUGGGAAACGAUGUGGGAAGGCCCAGACAGCCAGGAUGUUGGCUUAGAAGCAGCCAUCAUUUAAAGAAAGCGUAAUAGCUCACUGGUCGAGUCGGCCUGCGCGGAAGAUGUAACGGGGCUAAACCAUGCACCGAAGCUGCGGCAGCGACGCUUAUGCGUUGUUGGGUAGGGGAGCGUUCUGUAAGCCUGUGAAGGUGUACUGUGAGGUAUGCUGGAGGUAUCAGAAGUGCGAAUGCUGACAUAAGUAACGAUAAAGCGGGUGAAAAGCCCGCUCGCCGGAAGACCAAGGGUUCCUGUCCAACGUUAAUCGGGGCAGGGUGAGUCGACCCCUAAGGCGAGGCCGAAAGGCGUAGUCGAUGGGAAACAGGUUAAUAUUCCUGUACUUGGUGUUACUGCGAAGGGGGGACGGAGAAGGCUAUGUUGGCCGGGCGACGGUUGUCCCGGUUUAAGCGUGUAGGCUGGUUUUCCAGGCAAAUCCGGAAAAUCAAGGCUGAGGCGUGAUGACGAGGCACUACGGUGCUGAAGCAACAAAUGCCCUGCUUCCAGGAAAAGCCUCUAAGCAUCAGGUAACAUCAAAUCGUACCCCAAACCGACACAGGUGGUCAGGUAGAGAAUACCAAGGCGCUUGAGAGAACUCGGGUGAAGGAACUAGGCAAAAUGGUGCCGUAACUUCGGGAGAAGGCACGCUGAUAUGUAGGUGAAGUCCCUCGCGGAUGGAGCUGAAAUCAGUCGAAGAUACCAGCUGGCUGCAACUGUUUAUUAAAAACACAGCACUGUGCAAACACGAAAGUGGACGUAUACGGUGUGACGCCUGCCCGGUGCCGGAAGGUUAAUUGAUGGGGUUAGCGCAAGCGAAGCUCUUGAUCGAAGCCCCGGUAAACGGCGGCCGUAACUAUAACGGUCCUAAGGUAGCGAAAUUCCUUGUCGGGUAAGUUCCGACCUGCACGAAUGGCGUAAUGAUGGCCAGGCUGUCUCCACCCGAGACUCAGUGAAAUUGAACUCGCUGUGAAGAUGCAGUGUACCCGCGGCAAGACGGAAAGACCCCGUGAACCUUUACUAUAGCUUGACACUGAACAUUGAGCCUUGAUGUGUAGGAUAGGUGGGAGGCUUUGAAGUGUGGACGCCAGUCUGCAUGGAGCCGACCUUGAAAUACCACCCUUUAAUGUUUGAUGUUCUAACGUUGACCCGUAAUCCGGGUUGCGGACAGUGUCUGGUGGGUAGUUUGACUGGGGCGGUCUCCUCCUAAAGAGUAACGGAGGAGCACGAAGGUUGGCUAAUCCUGGUCGGACAUCAGGAGGUUAGUGCAAUGGCAUAAGCCAGCUUGACUGCGAGCGUGACGGCGCGAGCAGGUGCGAAAGCAGGUCAUAGUGAUCCGGUGGUUCUGAAUGGAAGGGCCAUCGCUCAACGGAUAAAAGGUACUCCGGGGAUAACAGGCUGAUACCGCCCAAGAGUUCAUAUCGACGGCGGUGUUUGGCACCUCGAUGUCGGCUCAUCACAUCCUGGGGCUGAAGUAGGUCCCAAGGGUAUGGCUGUUCGCCAUUUAAAGUGGUACGCGAGCUGGGUUUAGAACGUCGUGAGACAGUUCGGUCCCUAUCUGCCGUGGGCGCUGGAGAACUGAGGGGGGCUGCUCCUAGUACGAGAGGACCGGAGUGGACGCAUCACUGGUGUUCGGGUUGUCAUGCCAAUGGCACUGCCCGGUAGCUAAAUGCGGAAGAGAUAAGUGCUGAAAGCAUCUAAGCACGAAACUUGCCCCGAGAUGAGUUCUCCCUGACUCCUUGAGAGUCCUGAAGGAACGUUGAAGACGACGACGUUGAUAGGCCGGGUGUGUAAGCGCAGCGAUGCGUUGAGCUAACCGGUACUAAUGAACCGUGAGGCUUAACCUU
rnacentral:rRNA from 2 species